AAUUCAUACAACAAUAUGGAGCGUAAAGUUUUGGGAUUUACAGUACUGUUUCUGGCUUCUCAAUAUUGUUGGUGUCAGACACUGACUGAGUCUGAAGCUGUAGUCAUCAAACCUGGAGAAUCCCAUAAACUGACAUGUACUGCCUCUGGUUUGGACUUUGAUAACUACUGGAUGGCUUGGAUCAGACAGAAACAGGCAGCAGGAGGAGGUCUGGAGUGGCUGGCAUACAUCUCAUCUGGCAGUAGUUAUAUAUACUACUCUCAGUCUGUUCAGGGACGGUUCACCAACUCCAGAGACAACAGCAAGAAACAGAUGUAUCUGCAGAUGAAUAAAAUGAAGAAUGAACUACAGAGAGUUGAGGCAGGAUCUAGAUGCAGCAGUAAACUUUAA